rnacentral:rRNA from 1 species
GAUGAACGCUGGCGGCGUGCCUAAUACAUGCAAGUCGAGCGAACAGACGAGGAGCUUGCUCCUCUGACGUUAGCGGCGGACGGGUGAGUAACACGUGGAUAACCUACCUAUAAGACUGGGAUAACUUCGGGAAACCGGAGCUAAUACCGGAUAAUAUAUUGAACCGCAUGGUUCAAUAGUGAAAGACGGUUUUGCUGUCACUUAUAGAUGGAUCCGCGCCGCAUUAGCUAGUUGGUAAGGUAACGGCUUACCAAGGCGACGAUGCGUAGCCGACCUGAGAGGGUGAUCGGCCACACUGGAACUGAGACACGGUCCAGACUCCUACGGGAGGCAGCAGUAGGGAAUCUUCCGCAAUGGGCGAAAGCCUGACGGAGCAACGCCGCGUGAGUGAUGAAGGUCUUCGGAUCGUAAAACUGUGUUAUUAGGGAAGAACAAAUGUGUAAGUAACUAUGCACGUCUUGACGGUACCUAAUCAGAAAGCCACGGCUAACUACGUG